CAGUAAUGUCCAGGCUGAGGAUGCAGGAGUUUACUACUGUCAGAGUGCACACUAUAUCAGUAGUAAGUGGGUGUUCACGUUUGGAGGCGGCACUAGACUUGACGUUGGAAGUGACACCCGUCCCAAAGUCACAGUCCUGCCCCCCCUGCACACCAGCGGGACUUCAGCCACGGUGAUGUGCCUGGCUAACGGAGGCUUCCCGUCCAACUGGGCGCUGAGCUGGAAGGUAGAUGGGAGCAGCAGGAGCGGGGAGACCAGUGUGUUUGGCCCACAGAAGGACGGCCUGUACAGCUGGAGCAGCACCCUGACCCUCCCUCUCCAGGAAUGGAACCAGGGCCACGCAGUGACCUGCGAGGCAAAGCACGGCUCCCAGACCGUCACUGAGAUCCUGAAGAAAUCAGACUGCUCCUAGAGUCUCCUCUCCAAUGGCUGCCAUCAGCCUGAUUUAAAGUGUGUCUGAUAGGAACUCUUCAUCUCUGAUAGGAACUCUUCAUCUCUGAUAGGAACUCUGAUAGGAACUCUUCAU